rnacentral:piRNA from 1 species
UAGGACAAAGGGCUGGCAGUGGU